AAGUCCUAAAUAUUGAUUUUCAAUUAUUUUUUUUUUGCAAGGUAGAACGGCGUCAAUUAAAACACAGAUGAUUCGUUACUCGAAGAUGUGUCCAAGACUAGCCGCUCAAAAUCCAAACUUUUUUCCAAAAUGCCAAGUAAAUGCUGUACUUUGGAAAGAGAUAUAAUUUGAGAAUUAGUCUCUAAACUUUCCAAAAGAGUCUCAAUAUGAGAAGUAGCUGAUUUGUCUUUGCAGUGUUCAACCCAAGCAACAUAAGGAUAACCAUCUGAAGCGGAGAUUUGAGAAACAACUUCUUGAAUCAUAAAUACAAAAGGAAGCAUAGCAAUUUGGAUUCCUCGCAGCCCAUCCUGUUGAGCAGUAUCGUGUAUGAACAAAGAAUGAGACUUAACAAUUUCUGGUUUGCUCUUUGUUAUUUGACUUGCAGAUAAACCGUAUUGCUCGCAAAUUCUAAGAUGAGUCACAUUUUCUUCCUUAAUAGCCUGAAUAAUUUUAGCACUGUGUUCGAUAGCAGAAAUACUAGAUGACGAAAAAGCCAUCAUUCCUGCUGCUUGAGCAUUAUUAAUUAACAUAUGAUAUUUUAGAACCAAAUACUUUUGGAAAGGCAAACGAGAAAGUGUACCAGCUUUUAACUGCUCAACGAAUGGAUGGUUAACAAUGCUUAGCCAUUUAGGGGUUAUAGAAGGAUGAUAGCGAACAAAGUUGAUGAAUUCUCCCUUUUCAUAAGGAAGUCGCGUCAAGGCAGAAGCAUAAUCCAAGGAAUUGGCACCACGACCCAGAUGAAAGCUCAUUUCUAAUGCUCGCUGAGUGUAGGAUACUGCGUUCUGUGUUGCAGUUACAAGGUCUAACCCAAUUGCAAGAUUGGAAGCUACUGCUGAAGAUAAUGCACAGCUGGUGCCACGAGCCGUUUUGGAGGCAAGCCAUUUUUGAGGAAGCAACACUUCACCCUCACUAGUACAAAGGACAUAUAAAUACCAAGUAGGAGGCAUAUUUGUUUCGCGUGAGCAAAAAAAAUCAGAUGCGAACGGUAUAUCGUCGCAACGUAUAACCACAUUUUUACAACCUGCCUUUAUUAACUUUUUACCCACGGCUUUAACGUCCUCUAAAUGAUGAAUUUCAACGAAUUCGUUAGUCAUAUGCUUCAGUAUUAUUAAGGCUUCUGCUAUGUUUGGAAUAAGCACUUCUGCUCGCGGAAUAAGCUCUUUAACAAAUAGUUCUAAGUAGUCGGGCAUGACUAGUAAAGCACCCUUCCGGGUCGCAAUAAGGGGAUCAACAACGACUUUUUUGAUUUUAAACCUAUCUAUUGAUUCAACAAUAACUUUUAAAAUUUGCUGAUUGAACAGCAUUCCAGUCUUCAUGACUUCACAGUGAACAUCUAACAGGCAAGCACUUAUCUGUUGUUCAACAUACGAGGCAGGAAUAAGGUGAACUCCAUUAACACCAAUCGUAUUUUGGGAAGUAAUAGCAGUAACCGCACUCAUUCCAUAAACGGAGUGUGCUGUAAAUACUUUCAAAUCGGCUUGUACGCCAGCACCACCGCUGCAAUCGGAGCCGGCGACAGUGAUACAAGUCGAAAUCAUGGUCAAUGUAAUACUUAAUCUCCAAAAAAUUACAGCACUACUUUCGAUAGGGUCUCAAACAGUUAAGCUACGAAAUUCGUAACUGUGGUAGAU
rnacentral:lncRNA from 1 species